rnacentral:tRNA from 1 species
UAAAAGAUAAGCUAAUAUUAAAGCUGAUGGGUUCAUACCUCAUUUAUGGAAGUAUUCCUCUUUUUA